AAAGGUAAGGCCAGAGGAGGGGGCUGGGGGGGACCCCAGACCCAGGAGGGGCAGAGGGCGCCGGAGCCGGGCUGGUUUCCCUCCCCAGCUGUAGGGCUCCCUGUGCCCCUGCACACACACACACCCCGCCCCCUCCCAGCCCCCCACUUCCUCAACCCUCGGCCCUUGGCCCCUUCCCUCCUUGGCCCCAUUUCUCCUCCUUGGGUUCCCUCUUUCCCUCCCUCUCCCUCCACGUCCUUCUGUCCCUUUGCAUGGCUCCCCUGCCCGGCUCCUGCUGGCUCUCCCUGGCCCUCAUCCCUCCCCCUCCCUCGCUGCCCAGCCUGUCUUCCUUGGCCCUUUCCUCAGUCUCUGUCCCUCCCCAGCUCCCCAUUUCUCCUUCCCCUCCCCCCUUCUCCCUGGCCCCUCUCCCUCCCCAUCCCACCUCCUCCCUCCCUCCCUCCCUCUCCUCCCAGGCUCCAUCCCCUCCCCUCAGCCUCUGUCCCUGUUCCCACGGCCUGUGACUCUGCUCUUCAUCCUGCUUACAAGGCCCUGAAGGUCGUGAGGCCCCGGCCCCGGGCCCGGACACCCCCCCCCCCGAGCCUGCGGCCCGAGGAAGUCCAGGCCUGCCCUCCCCCUUCUCAUCCCUGGGUCUGGGACCUGCAGGGGUGGGGGGAAAACUGUCUCGCAGUGCGCGGAGGACCCGUGCGGCGCGCUCGCUGGGCCCUGACCCGCCAGCAGGGCCUCUGUCCGGUUCAGCACCGGCUCACUGCCCGCCAGCUCCCCUCCCUCCUCUGCAGUGCUGGGCUGGGGGGGAUGGGACGGCCCUGGAGGGGAGCGCGAGCAGCCGUCUCCCAGAGGGAAGGAGACCAGGGGUGGAAAUCAGUCUCAGAGGCUUGCCUGCCCCUUGGGGGGGUGGGAAACCCCCGCUUUGGGGGAUUGGACGGGGGGGGGUGGAGGCUGGGUCCGAAGCUCGAGGUCUCAGAAGGGGCGGGGGCCUGGGUCCUCGAGGGGCCAGGGCGCACGUCCCGGGGGCUCCGAGGCUCGGGGUCCCUGCUCAGUUUAAGCGAGGCAAGGGAGGGCCAGAUGCUCCUUGGGGGCCCCUUGUCCCCGUGGCUCUAG
rnacentral:lncRNA from 1 species